rnacentral:rRNA from 1 species
UACGGGGGGGGCAAGCGUUGUUCGGAAUUACUGGGCGUAAAGGGCUCGUAGGCGGCCAACUAAGUCAGACGUGAAAUCCCUCGGCUUAACCGGGGAACUGCGUCUGAUACUGGAUGGCUUGAGUGUGGGAGAGGGAUGCGGAAUUCCAGGUGUAGCGGUGAAAUGCGUAGAUAUCUGGAGGAACACCGGUGGCGAAGGCGGCAUCCUGGACCAUUACUGACGCUGAGGGGCGAAAGCCAGGGGAGCAAACGGG